GGUCUCAUGGUGUAAUGGUUAUCACUCUGGACUCUGAAUCCAGCGAUCCGAGUUCAAAUCUCGGUGGGACCU
rnacentral:tRNA from 1 species